AGUAGGAGUACUGUGGAGGGAGUGUAAUCAAGAGAAAGUAAUUAUGUAGAAGAUACCUUUAGUAUCAGGGAGAAUCAAAAUUCAGUUAAAUUUGAUCCCGAAAUUAAUUGAGUUAAGUUUAUUAGUAAAUUGUGUUGAAAAAUAAAUACAAAUAUAGAUUUAGAGGUGAAAUUCUUACGAGAUGUAAUAGCUGGUUGUUAGGAGGUCGUGUAUUUUUAGGAUAAAAAUAGAGGUAAAGAGUUAAGUUUUUAUCUCGAGUAGAUUAACUUUAACUAUUAUAAAUUAGGCUUUAAAAUAGUUAUAUUUAUAGUUUGUUACAAUAAAUUGAGAGAGAGAUAGGGCUAUUUAUUAGGUGGCCUGUGGCUUAAUUGUAGAGGCGCAUAGAUAAUGAUUUUAUUAGUAUAUUGUUUAGCUGUAAAGAAAAAACUCGUCCUUUGCUUGUCGAAUGUUUAACAAAAACAUUUUUCACUUGUGAAUUGUGGAUAAGGCCUGCCCAGUGCAGCAUGUAAACGGCUGCAGUAUUGUGACUGUACAAAGGUAGCAUAAUCAUUUGUACUUUAAUUGAGGACUGGAAUGAACGGUUUAACGAUGGGCAGCUGUUUUAUUUUUAUAUUAAAAUUUAUAGUUUAAGUAAAAAUUCUUAAAUAAUACCGAGGGACGAUAAGACCCUAAAAGCUUAAAAUUAAGGUGUGUUUAUUAUAAGAUAAAUUUUUGGCUGGGGUAGCAGAAUUAUUUGAUUUAAUUGUGGAGGAAAUUUAUGUAGAUAUGAAGGAUCCUUUAUAUAAGGAUGGAUAGGGCUAGUUACUUUAGGGAUAACAGCGCAAUUAUUUUGCAGAGACCUUAUUGAUAAAGUGGAUUGCGACCUCGAUGUUGAAUUAGAGUUUCUUUAUGAAGUAAAUGGUGUAUAAGAGGGUUUGUUCAACCUGUAAAUCUCUACAUGAUUUGAGUUCAGACCGGCGUAAGCCAGGUCGGUUUCUAUCUUCUGUUAAAUUAUAUUUUAGUUUAGUACGAAAGGGUCAACUAGGGUUUGUCUA
rnacentral:rRNA from 1 species